rnacentral:lncRNA from 1 species
CCGCCCGCGCCCGGCCCAGCACGCUUGUUCCUCAGCACCGCGUCCAGAGCCCACGGCCGCGACCUGACCAGCGGCCUGCCUCCGGCGCCCACGCCAGCAGCACUGGUCUCUGCGUGGGCCGAGCCCCGCGGGCCCUGGCCGUCCCGCCCCUCCCAGCACAGGUCCAGGCAAGGCCGCCUCCAGGCCCUGCACCCUCACGCUGGCCGUCCCCGCCCGUCCCCUGGGAGGCGCUGCACCAGGACCCUGCCUCCCCACGGACGCCGCGGGCACCCCGCAGGUGGUGAAGCAGACAGCCCCCCUCUCAGCCAGGGGCCGCCGUGCUCCUGGGCCUCCCACGAUGGCCGCGGCCCGACGGGGCGGUCCACACUCCGUAUCCUCCUAGAGGAAGGUGGCUGGUCUGAGCCCGACCCCCCUCAAGGGGAGGCAGCUCCCCACGGAGGGCAGAGCCUGGGAUCCACGGGGCACAUCCAGCUGGGGGUGAGGACAGCAAAGAGGCCUCCUCCUCCCUUCUCUUCCCGUCCUCCCCUCCUCCCCUUCUUCCUCCUCCUCCUUCCUCCUUCCCUCUCUCCCCCUCCCCCUUCCCCCCUCCUUUCUUCCCUUCUUCCUCCUCCCGUCAUCCCCUCAUCCUUCCUUCCUCUUCUUCCUCUCCCUCCUCCCCCUCCUCACUCUCCACCCUCUCCUCCCGUUGUCCCUCCUCUUCCCUCCUCCCAGUCCUCUUCCUCCCUCUCCUUCCCCCUCCUCCUCCCCCCUUCCCACUCCUCCUCCAUCCUCCAACCUCUUAGGCUUCAGGCAAGGGCAGAGCUUCCGAGUGUCAGGACAGCGGCCCCACCUGUCCCUGUCCCUCCCCUGGACCGCUGACCUGGCCCACACUCUCUGGGUCACUGCCUGCCUCUCCCAGUGGCUCCGGGACCCCAGGCCCAGGCACUCUGCAGCUGCGGUCCAGCAGCACCACUACCCAGGUCACCCCCACCCCCCAUCCCCCACCCCCACUCUGUUGGCCACUUGCUCCUCCUCCCUGGACGGAUGCUGCUUGUUUUGUCACCCUGUUGCCCAAGGACAGGCUCUGACAGCCCCUGGGGGCCCCAUGUAGGAGAGGGGUGCACAGCCUGGCUUCUGCUCCAGGGGUCAGAGCAGGAGUCUAGGGGUCCAGGGAAGACACUCAGGGCGCUGGAGGCAGCUGUAGGACAAGGGCUGGGAAGGGCACUGCAGGUGGGCAGACCCAGAAUUCUCCCAUCAGCAUCCAGAGCGCCUGGGAACUGAGGGGGAGCAGGGGUGGGGGAGCAGAG